rnacentral:tRNA from 3 species
GUAAAUAGGCAAACUACACGCGUAGAAGCUGAAGUAUUGGAGUCUUUGGACGCGGGUUCGACUCCCGCCGUCUCCA